GGAGGAUAUAGUCAGUGGUAGAGCACAUGUUUAGCAUGCAUAAGGUUCUGGGUUUAAUCCCCAGUACCUCCA
rnacentral:tRNA from 1 species